rnacentral:rRNA from 1 species
UGGGGAAUUUUGCACAAUGGGCGCAAGCCUGAUGCAGCGACGCCGCGUGAGGGAUGAAGGCCUUCGGGUUGUAAACCUUUUUCGCUCAUGGUCAAGCCGCAGCUUUGGGUUGUGGUGAGGGUAGUGGGUAAAGAAGCGCCGGCUAACUACGUGCCAGCAGCCGCGGUAAUACGUAGGGCGCGAGCGUUGUCCGGAAUUAUUGGGCGUAAAGGGCUUGUAGGCGGUUGGCCGCGUCUGCCGUGAAAUCCUCUGGCUUAACGGUGGGUUUGCGCCGGGUACGGGCGGGCUAGAGUGCAGUAGGGGAGACUGGAAUUCCCGGUGUAACGGUGGAAUGUGUAGAUAUCGGGAAGAACACCAAUGGCGAAGGCAGGUCUCUGGGCUGUUACUGACGCUGAGAAGCGAAAGCGUGGGGAGCGAACAGG